AAACGGCCGCGUUAGCGUGAGCGUGCUAAGGUAGCGUAAUAAAUAGCCUCUUAAUUGGAGGCCAGUGAAUGGCAAGACUAGGAAUACCUGUACCACAUAUGUAAAAAAAACUUUUCAUCUGAGUGAAAAGACUCAGAUAACGAAGGAAGACGAAAAGACCCCGCGGAACUUUACCUUUUCCAGUCUCACAUGCUAAUGAACACAAAACGAAAGGUUUGAUUGGGGCAAUCUCGGAACAAACCAAGCUUCCGAUUUACCGAAAAAGAAUAUACGAAAUUCUAUAAAGACNAAAAAGAAGUUACCCCGGGGAUAACAGCGUAAUCUAACUUGAGAGUACACAUCGAAAGCUAGGUUUGCGACCUCGAUGUUGGCUUAAG
rnacentral:rRNA from 1 species